UUAACUCAAAUUUGUAUACAGUUGGUACAGCGCCCCUAGCGGCAAACGUAGGCAAACGUUCCAAUUUCAUACAAAUUUUAGUUA
rnacentral:pre_miRNA from 1 species